UACGAAGGGAGCUAGCGUUGUUCGGAAUCACUGGGCGUAAAGCGCACGUAGGCGGACGUGUCAGUCAGGGGUGAAAUCCCGGAGCUCAACCCCCGGAACUGCCUUUGAUACUGGGUAUCUCGAGUCCGGAAGAGGUGAGUGGAAUUCCGAGUGUAGAGGUGAAAUUCGUAGAUAUUCGGAGGAACACCAGUGGCGAAGGCGGCUCACUGGUCCGGUACUGACGCUGAGGUGCGAAAGCGUGGGGAGCAAACAGG
rnacentral:rRNA from 1 species